rnacentral:snoRNA from 1 species
UCGGCGUAUAACUAGGCCGAGGUCUCACUACGCUCCACGAUCUUAGUCUUUUAAGUCGCCGAUAUAUCAAAUGCGAGAGUCUUACACGUUACUGGAGUCACCAAUGAUAUCUAAUGUUUAAACUGUCGCGACAUUU